rnacentral:rRNA from 1 species
AUGGUGGCACAGAAUCGGAGGCCCCGACUGUUUACUAAAAACACAACACAGUGCAAUCAUUAAUAUGGUAGUAUACUGUGUGAAAUUUGCCCAAUGCCAUUAAUAUAAAAGCGGUCAUAGGAAACUGUGACUAAUUGAAAAUCUGGUUAAUAGCGGUCUUAACCAUGAGGAUCUAAGGUAGCAAAAUAAAUUGGCCAUUAAAUGUGGUCCGGUAUCAAUAAUGUAACGAUGGCCUCACUGUCUCUACAACUUGCUCAGUGAAAUUGAAUUACGCGUGCAGAUGCGCGUUACCUCCAGUGGGACGGG